rnacentral:lncRNA from 1 species
UCAAGCUCUGUGCUUGUCUCAUUUGAUUCUCCGGACAACGCUGAGACGUAAUCUGAUUCCCAUUUUGCAGGUGAAGAACUGGAGGCGCCAUCAUUUAGCAGUUUGCUUAUGGUCACACAGCUGCGACUGGACCCCUUGUCUGACUGCUCCUGAGCCUGCAUUCUAGGUCUUGGAAGGAGCCGAAUGUGUCUCGGGGACACGGAGAAGUCAUCUGUUCCUGCAAAGCCUCGUGUGAGAAGACGAAAGCGAGGAAGAGGCGGUGGAAAGGCACGUGCUGGCCGGGACACCAGCAGCAGCUAGGAGGGGGCUCCCUCUAAGAAACUGUCAUCGCAUGGCCUCAAGUGCAGACCUCCCUGGGCCUCAAGUCACAGCCAAUCCCGGAAGCUGCUGUCACAUAUGGUGGUGACCCAUAGGGUCUGUCGUGUUGCUGCUACUGAUGAUGACGAUAAUGAUGAUGAUCUCUUUUGACUCAUUUUUCAGGUGCGGACCCCCAGAUACCUGUCAGACAUUCUGCACACUAUCCUGUAUUGGAGCUGGCCUGAGAGAGAUCCAACCAACUCAAGACUAUGCCACUGUCCCUCAGAGCUGA